CACCCCCUGUAGUGUUCGAUAGUGGCCUGGGUAUUUUCUUGAGCCUAAUCGCGACCCUGGGGACAUGAAAGCGAAGCCGUUGCGCAUGUCCGUCACCGAGCGGAAAGCCUGAAGCCAAGCCAAGUGUUCCCACUUGAACCUCUUGGUUCAGGAACAAAGGCCUGCAACGGCACAGACGGGGGGUGU
rnacentral:other from 1 species